rnacentral:lncRNA from 13 species
CCCCGCCUCUGUUCCACGAGCAAUGAGGGCUUCACAUGAAGGAGAAACAAACGGAUUUUGUCCUGGGAUUUGGGAUUUAAACCAAAAAAAGUGGAUUUCCCCUGUCCUUGGUGCUGGAAGUGCAUCCCAAUCCUACAGCGACCAGGGAGGGUGGGAUGAGGAGCAAUUCCCAAAUCCAGCAGCUCCGAGGGCCUUUGGGGUCAAGGUUUCACCUGAGCUUGCACUCCUGAGGUCGGGAUUCCCCCCAUGCCCCGGCCAGGAGCAUCCAGGGGGAUUCCCUGCAUCCCAAACUCCCCAAAUUCCUGAUUUUUUUCCCCAUUUCAGUGAACACAGUGGAUGACACGACCAUGUACGCCGAGGUGGGCCCUUCCCAGCAGCGUAUCCCGAAUGGAAUUAAAGCCAAACCAACGGAGGCCCCGGAAUCCUCCUCAACCAUUUAUUCCCUGGUCAAGCGUCCGGGUCAGAUGGACCCCACAACGUGACUCUGGAAAGGCUCCGGCAUCCACGAUCCCGCUUCAGACAGGAUCUCACGGAUCUCAUCCUCCCAGGGAUCUCCCUUUCCCUCCUCAUCGCUGCUGCCUCGGAUCUCCCCUGGGCAGCCUCAGUUCGCGAUUUCAGGGAGCAUUUGGAGCCCUUUGGGAUCUUUCCCCUCGAUUUUGGCAGCUCCACGGGGUUCGGGCUCCUUUUCCCACCCUCUCCCACCGGGAUUCCAGACCACAGCUCCGCACACGCCGCAAGGAUUCGGGGCCGAGCCUCGGGAUGGCCGGACGGGCUGGAGGAGCCUCUUAAAAGGGUUUUUUCAUGGAAUCCCAGAAUUCCUGAAGUUGUAAAAUCGCUCCAGGACCAUCAGUUCCAGCCUGGGACCAGUCCUGGCCACGCAGAGCAAGGUCUAGCGGUUCCUUGGACACCUCCAGGGAUGGCGCCUCCAAACCGGCUCCUUUUAAUGUGGAAAACCCAUUUUUUCAAGGAAUCCUUGCAGGAUUUUUUUUUAGAAAUGAUUUUUUUCCCCUGUUCUGCUUCGUUUUUGAAGCUUCUUGCUUGUCUUACGGAAAACGAAAAUAAUGCCAGGCAGCUGAAGCAAGAACCACAAGAACCUUCCCCCAUUGUUGGGGAAGAUGAAACAGGAAAGCCUUAUAAAUAUGAUUGCCUGACAAAAGAUUUUGGGAAUAUGAAAACUACAGGCAACAUCGAAAUGAAAGCCACUUUUGAAAUACCAAGUCUUAGUUACUGAACAACUGGAAAACAAUGGUAUGGCCGACUGAAGGUAAUCCCCUCUUGAU